CUACGGAGGAUCCGAGCGUUAUCCGGAUUUAUUGGGUUUAAAGGGUGCGCUGGCGGCCAUUUAAGUCAGCGGUUAAAUCGUGGGGCUCAACCCCAUUCUGCCGUUGAUACUGGGUGGCUUGAUUGCGGUCGAGGUUGGCGGAAUUCGUUGUGUAGCGGUGAAAUGCAUAGAGAUGACGAAGAUCACCGGUUGCGUGGACAGCUGACCUGCCCACAGAUGACGCCCAUGCACGAAAGUACGGAGAUCGAACAGUAUUAGAUGCCCUGCUAGGGCUCAGACUAAGCGAUUAACACCUGUCUUAGGCGAUAUAAUGCCGGAGCCAUAGAGAAAGUGAUAAGUAUUCCCCCUGGCGACUUCGCCGGCACCGGGGAAACUGACAUGACUUGGAGUUG
rnacentral:rRNA from 1 species